rnacentral:rRNA from 1 species
GUGCAUGGCGGGUCUACCAUGCAGUCGAACGAUGAAGCCCUGCUUGCAGGGUGGAUUAGUGGCGAACGGGUGAGUAACACGUGAGUAACCUGCCCCUGACUCUGGGAUAAGCCCGGGAAACUGGGUCUAAUACCGGAUAUGACUUCCUACUGCAUGGUGGGUUGUUGAAAGAUUUAUCGGUGGGGGAUGGACUCGCGGCCUAUCAGCUUGUUGGUGAGGUAAUGGCUCACCAAGGCGACGACGGGUAGCCGGCCUGAGAGGGUGACCGGCCACACUGGGACUGAGACACGGCCCAGACUCCUACGGGAGGCAGCAGUGGGGAAUAUUGCACAAUGGGCGGAAGCCUGAUGCAGCGACGCCGCGUGAGGGAUGACGGCCUUCGGGUUGUAAACCUCUUUCAGUAGGGAAGAAGCGAAAGUGACGGUACCUGCAGAAGAAGCGCCGGCUAACUACGUGCCAGCAGCCGCGGUAAUACGUAGGGCGCAAGCGUUAUCCGGAUUUAUUGGGCGUAAAGAGCUCGUAGGCGGUUUGUCGCGUCUGCCGUGAAAGUCCGAGGCUCAACCUCGGAUCUGCGGUGGGUACGGGCAGACUAGAGUGAUGUAGGGGAGACUGGAAUUCCUGGUGUAGCGGUGAAAUGCGCAGAUAUCAGGAGGAACACCGAUGGCGAAGGCAGGUCUCUGGGCAUUUACUGACGCUGAGGAGCGAAAGCAUGGGGAGCGAACAGGAUUAGAUACCCUGGUAGUCCAUGCCGUAAACGUUGGGCACUAGGUGUGGGGGACAUUCCACGUUUUCCGCGCCGUAGCUAACGCAUUAAGUGCCCCGCCUGGGGAGUACGGCCGCAAGGCUAAAACUCAAAGGAAUUGACGGGGGCCCGCACAAGCGGCGGAGCAUGCGGAUUAAUUCGAUGCAACGCGAAGAACCUUACCAAGGCUUGACAUGUGCCAGACCGCUCCAGAGAUGGGGUUUCCCUUCGGGGCUGGUUCACAGGUGGUGCAUGGGUUGUCGUCAGCUCGUGUCGUGAGAUGUUGGGUUUAAGUCCCGCAACGAGCGCAAU